rnacentral:lncRNA from 1 species
GUGGUUCAACCGGAUAAAUCGUUUUAGAAUAGAAUAAUAAAUAAAUUAUAAGGUGCUUUAUACAGGUAAGCUUAUUAGAAAUAUGCAGAACUCUAAAAACAUGAGAAAGUACCAGUUGAAAGCUUCUAAUUACAAUUGUUACCAAAUAUAUAUGUCCUUUAUGUAAGGUUAAAUUUGAAUGGAAAAGCAUCUUAUGUGCAAUACAUCAUAGAGGUCACAUUCAAUAAUUUUAUUGACUUGAAGCUCAUUAAAAAAUCAAAUAAAAAUUAAAACUCCUUGAUUCUUUGGCAACCAAAUGAUUGAAAAGAUAAGUGAACAUAGACCAAAUGUGCAGGGGUUGAGCACUAACAUUUCAAAAAAAUUAGCAAUACUCAACAUCUAAAACAGAGAGAACAAUUGUACAAAAAUAGAUAUUAACAGUUUAUAAUUUGUGGGAAUUAACUUAAUAUUCUAUAGUUUCUUUCUUCUCCUUUUAGUUUCUUUUUUUCAAUGGAAACAAGAUUUAACAAUAAAAAUUCAAUAAUAAAAAUUCCAUCAUUCAUUUUAAUCAGUUCAAAACAAGAUACAACUUAGCUAAAUUUAACUAAAAAAUUUAAUAAAUAAUUCAGUUCAAUACAACAGAGAAGACUUAAUCAUUCAGAUAAAAGCUCAUGCUUUAGUAUCAUUUUAACAUAAAUUAACAAAGAAUUAUCAAAGUUUAAGCAUAAUUUUUUUUCAAUACAGCAUAAAAAAACAAUCAAAUAGAGUACAGCCCAGCAGUAGCAGUAGAGUUAAUCAUUCAACAAUAGCAUUAACCAUGUUCUUAACCUAAAGCAGGAGCCAAACACAAUGAAAAUUAACAGCAUGUUCUUAACCACAACACAAGACCAUAUCUGCCUACAGCAUUCAGCCAUUCAACACAACACAAUUUUGCCUAGUGCCUACAACAUUCAGCCAUUCAACACAACACAAUUCUGCCUACAAUUAGAUAACCCCAAUCAUAAACAUCAUUACCAAAUUAAAUAAAAAAUCAACCAAAAAUCACCUUGCAAAUCAAAAACUCAAUCUCUUGAACUCAAUAAUUACAUCAGUUAUCCAACUAAAUAAUUGCAUCACAGUUAUCAUAAACUGAUUUCAAAGCCUAGAAGCAGUAAGCAAAACCAAUCACAAAGCACUGACUGAGUAUUCUAUUCUGAUUCUGUGACUGGGAAGCAACAAAUUCAAGUUACAGCAACAAAUUCAACAAAUCCAAGUAAAGUUCCGAUUUACAGCAACAUUUAGAUUAGCAACAAGGCAAAUUUGAUUAGCAAUUCAGCAACAUACAAAAAUACAGGGAGAAGGGAAAUCUGAAAAGAGAGAACAGGGAAGCGAUGGUGCAGGGACUCACCAACGAUCGACGGCGAGUCGGCGACCACCCCACGAGUUGCUUCUACCGCCGGCGACGAGACAGAUGAACCACGAGAUGCCAGUGACUGAGACGAGACUCGAGUGAGGCUGGGAGGCAGAAUCGAGCAGAGACAACCACGGACGACGAGCAGCAACCAACACGGACAGCUCGAGCACUCACUGGCGGAGGGAGGCGCAAGCAGCCGAGCACAGAGGAGAACGGCGAGAUGCGAGCACCCGACGUGGAGGAUCCGGCGAGAGGCCCGAGAGCACGAAGACGGAAGUUCUUGAGUGCGAUGGACGGUGGCAGCAGUCUCUCACUCCGACAGACGGCGACAACUAUUGGUGGAGGCUAGGGUUUGCUUUCUUUGGUGGAGGCUAGGGUUUGAUGAAGGAAGGAGUUGGAGAAGGG